rnacentral:rRNA from 1 species
UGUCAGCAGCCGCGGUAAUACGUAGGGUGCGAGCGUUAAUCGGAAUUACUGGGCGUAAAGCGUGCGCAGGCGGCUUUGUAAGUCAGAUGUGAAAUCCCCGAGCUCAACUUGGGAACUGCGUUUGAAACUACAAGGCUAGAAUAUGUCAGAGGGGGGUAGAAUUCCACGUGUAGCAGUGAAAUGCGUAGAGAUGUGGAGGAAUACCAAUGGCGAAGGCAGCCCCCUGGGAUAAUAUUGACGCUCAUGCACGAAAGCGUGGGGAGCAAACAGGAUUAGAUACCCUGGUAGUCCACGCCCUAAACGAUGUCUACUAGUUGUUGGUGGAGUAAAAUCCAUGAGUAACGCAGCUAACGCGUGAAGUAGACCGCCUGGGGAGUACGGUCGCAAGAUUAAAACUUAAAUGAAUUGACGG